ACAACAACAAUCUUCCUCAAAAAUACAACAAAUUUGAUCAAUUUUCCUCAUUAUAUGAAGAUUUUUUGUGAAUUAUCUUAAGAAGGUCAUUGUGUAGGCUCAUCUCUCUACUACAGAGGAAUUACUGUUGCUGUGCUAAUACAUAGUGCUGUAGAGGUUCUUUGUCAGAAAUACUGUUGUACUUAUGUACAGUAAAUACAGUGUCAAACCUGAGCAUGAUACUUCACCAAAUAUUGCCAGAAAUGCAGCAUGUAUGUUGAUAAUUCAUCGAAUGUCGGAUCUCUUUAACAGUCUGUCUGCUGCAUACAUACCCUCGUCCUCGGCAGUAUAUAUAAUACUACUAUUGUUUUAGACAGUAUUUAAAGGGAUUGUGGCCUUAAUAAUGUGUUUAUUUGAUAGUUAUUUUUACUAAGUACAAUAUAGGUAUUUAAGAGUUCUUAAUACUAAUUAACUGUAUUCUAGGUAUUUGCAAAUUUUUACAUUGCUAAUCUGAAGUUCCUGUAUUAAGUUCUUGUGUCAAAAUUUUAACUUAUGUUAACUUUCAUAAUUAUUUUCUUAUAGGGUUUAAAUCUUUAAACAAUAUUAUAAUAUAUUUAACCACAUAAAUAUAUAUGUACAUAUAUAAAUUUCUUCUAUUAGAAUGUAAACUUUCUGUACAGAAAAUAUUAUUAUUGGUGUUUGCUGCACCAAAACAUUUCAGAAAAUAUUGUCACAUCAAGUAACAGUAUUGCAAAAAAUAAAUUGUUAACAACAGUUCUUCAUUGCAAUAAUAUUUUCUGGUGUGUCUUAUAAGCUAGGAAUAUCAUUUGUAAAAGUAAGCAUAAGGAAUAUUUAAAUUCGGUGGGAGACGGCCGACUUGUUGAAAAAAAAAAAAAACAUUAGCUGCCAUUAUUUAAAAAAUCAGAAAAAUCUUUUUAA